UGCCGACCCUCAGUAGGAG
rnacentral:snRNA from 1 species